AUUGAACGCUGGCGGCAGGCCUAACACAUGCAAGUCGAACGAGUGGCGGACGGGUGAGUAAUGUCUGGGAAACUGCCCGAUGGAGGGGGAUAACUACUGGAAACGGUAGCUAAUACCGCAUACCAUCGGAUGUGCCCAGAUGGGAUUAGCUAGUAGGUGGGGUAACGGCUCACCUAGGCGACGAUCCCUAGCUGGUCUGAGAGGAUGACCAGCCAAGCUGGAGCUGAGACACGGGCCAGACUCCUACGGGAGGGAGAAGUGGGGAAUAUUGCGCAAUGGGCGCAAGCCUGAUGCAGCCAUGCCGCGUGUAUGAAGAAGGCCUUCGGGUUGGAAAGUACUUGCAGCGAGGAGGCGUUACUCAAAGAAGAAGCACCGGCUAACUCCGUGCCAGCAGCCGCGGUAAUAC
rnacentral:rRNA from 1 species